CGGCCAUAUGUUACUCUACCGUGUUGAGCUUUACUUCAGAUUUUGAAACAUCUUUGGUGGAAUCAUGUUUAGACUGGCUGGACUUGGAAGUAUUUUUUAUAUUAAGCUUUUAAUUAGCUGACAGCGUGGUUAAUAGAAAUGCCAUUAGAUCUGGAAGUAUGCACUUACGUCUGGCUUCUGGUACUAUUGACUACCUGUAGUAAUGCUGAGCACUUUCGAGUUUUCACUAUUGUAACAUCCUAUUUCUUGUUUAAAAAUAAAUAUUCUGGAAGUAAGUACUUACGUCCAGUUUCUGGAAAUAUUGACAACCUGUUGUAAUGCUGAGCACUUCCGAGUUUUCGCUAUUGUAACCUCCUAUUUCUUGUUUAAAAAUAAAUGUUCUGGAAGUAAGUACUUACAUCCAGUUUCUGGUACCAUUGACAACCUGUAGUAAUGCUGAGCACUUCCGUGUUUUCACUAUAGCAACCUAGUUCUUGUUUAAAAAUGAAUGUUCUGGAUGAAGUUUGCUACCUAACUAACCUUGAGUCAUGUAUAUGAAAGCUAUCUCUAAUUCUGAUUUUAAGUAUUUGUUCAUAUUAGUCAUUUUCCUUCUUGUUGAUGAUGCUUACCUUGCAGGGCUAUAUCGUUUUCACUGUCAUAUAUCAAAAGAGGUAAUGAAAAUUGAGAACUAACUGAGAUGCCAGUCAACUUGUAGAUAUUUGAUGGUGCUGGUGUAUCUCCUUCGCCUUUAAGGGACCUGAAUCUGUUAUGGGGAAUUUGUCUGCCUAUGGUUUUUCUUGAGAGAAUCUCCCUCUUUAUUAUGAAGUCUGAACACAGUUCUGACUUUUUCUCUGGACAAUCAUCGCUUUCUUUGGAUGACAAAGUGGGAGAAGAGGGUUGUCUUGCUGAUUCUGACUACGUCAUAUGUGCUUGGCAGCAUAUGGAUCAAGCAUAACUGGGCAGAUCUUAGGACAAACUAUAACAGGGGGAUGGUGACAGCAAAUCCAUCUUAAGUAUGGUUCCUAGCAGAUUUGGGGUCCUGUCUCUUUACAUGAUCUUGCGUCUUCAGACAAACUAUAACAGGGGAUAAUUGGCAGAAUAUAGAUCAAGCAUAAUUGGGCAGAUCUUAGGACAAAUUAUAACAGGGGGGUGGUUCUUAGUUGGGUUAUAAAAGUGUGUUUGGCAGUAACUAUGGCUUAAAAUUUUUUCUUUCACGAUGCCUUUGGGUUAUUCUAUUUUUUCUAUUUAACAUAAGCCUAAUGUCCCUGGACAACAAACAACAUGCUGUAAACAGGAAUCACUUAGAGGUUUUUAGUUUGGAUGGGCAAUUCUCUUCAGAGAGUCUUGCAACAGUGAUCUGAUUGAGAGAAGGUUUUUUCUAUUUACUGGCUAGGGUGGGUUUCAAUCAGCUUCAUCUUCCAAACAUCGCAUAUGUUAUGACAGUCUUGUUCUCUCUAUCAUGAAACUAUGCAGUAAUUUGGCCUAGUUUUUCAGCUCCUAAGAGAGGAUAUUGAGCAAGAUGGUCCUUUAUCUGCGAGAUGAGUCUCCUUGCUUGAUGUUGUAUUCAGAAAGGUAAUGACUAGGUCAUGUUUCCCACAAUACUUUUGACCCAUAAUCAGAUUAUUAAGAGCAUCA